UACGGGGGGGGCAAGCGUUGUUCGGAAUUACUGGGCGUAAAGGGCUCGUAGGCGGCCAACUAAGUCGGACGUGAAAUCCCUCGGCUUAACCGGGGAACUGCGUCCGAUACUGGAUGGCUUGAGUUCGGGAGAGGGAUGCGGAAUUCCAGGUGUAGCGGUGAAAUGCGUAGAUAUCUGGAGGAACACCGGUGGCGAAGGCGGCAUCCUGGACCGGCAUUGACGCUGAGGAGCGAAAGCCAGGGGAGCAAACGGG
rnacentral:rRNA from 1 species